GGAAUCUUCCACAAUGGGCGAAAGCCUGAUGGAGCAACGCCGCGUGUGUGAUGAAGGCUUUCGGGUCGUAAAGCACUGUUGUAUGGGAAGAACAGCUAGAAUAGGAAAUGAUUUUAGUUUGACGGUACCAUACCAGAAAGGGACGGCUAAAUACGCGCCAG
rnacentral:rRNA from 1 species